rnacentral:misc_RNA from 1 species
AAAGUCGUAACAAGGUCUCCGUAGGUGAACCUGCGGAGGGAUCAUUAACGAGACUGGGUGCUUCGGCGCCCGACCUCCAACCCUUUGUCUACCUUACCACUGUUGCCUCGGCGCACGCGGGAGCGAUCCUGCGGCGCCGGUGGCCAAAAACACUAAACCCUUUUUGAACCCGGUUUUCUGAGAAAUUAUUUAAUAACUUCAAAACUUUCAACAACGGAUCUCUUGGUUCUG